UACGUAGGGGGCAAGCGUUGUCCGGAAUCAUUGGGCGUAAAGCGCGUGUAGGCGGCUCGGAAAGUCUGGUGUGAAAUCUUGAGGCUCAACCUUAAGCUGUCACUGGAAACUAUCGGGCUUGAGUCCGGAAGAGGAGAGUGGAAUUCCAGGUGUAGCGGUGAAAUGCGUAGAUAUCUGGAGGAACACCGGUGGCGAAGGCGGCAUCCUGGACCAUGACUGACGCUGAGGAGCGAAAGCCAGGGGAGCAAACGGG
rnacentral:rRNA from 1 species